GUGUGCGAUACCGCUAGAUUUGGUAUCGAUCCGAUACCAAGUAAAUACAGGGCCAGUAUCGCCGAUACCGAUACCAAUACCAAUACUUUUUAAUAAUUAAGGUGGAUGCGUCUUCAACCUAAAUCUAAAUGAAUUUUCAUGACUUUUAAUUUGUUUUUGUGAUUUGCAUUUCGGGUUAUUAAUCAGUACUACAAAAGCUUUUGUUCAGAAACAACUUUUGGUUACUUCUGUUUUUUUUUUAAAUAAACAAAGUUACAAAAUGAUUAAUUCACAAAUAUAUAUAUAAAAAAAAAUAAAAACAAAUUCUCUUUUCAAGUAGCAUGUUAAUAAAAAAAUGUUUCUCCUCUUUAGUGCACUUCUUUUCAGGAUUUUUUUUUCUUAAACAAAGUCAUAAAGUUUUACUUCACAAUGUAAAACAAAUUCUCCUUGUACAAAAUUCCUGAAGCCGACAUCUUCCACUAUGGAAAGAGGCUGCAGGUCCUUCACAAUCAUUUCUGAUAGGCGCCUUGUAAUAUCCACUGCUCUUGGAGAAUCAGC